AUUUUGGCUCUUCAUCUUAUUUGAAAUUUUUUGUGAUUAAUAUUUUUAUUGUUACUAGACCAUAAAACACGAAUAGUACUUUAUGUGUGACUAAUUUUUUUAAGUUUUUUAAUAAUUAUUUCAAAUAAGACAAAUGUUCAAAGU
rnacentral:pre_miRNA from 1 species